UACGUAGGGUGCAAGCGUUGUCCGGAAUUAUUGGGCGUAAAGAGCUUGUAGGCGGUUUGUCGCGUCUGCUGUGAAAUUUCGGGGCUCAACCCCGAACUUGCAGUGGGUACGGGCAGACUAGAGUGUGGUAGGGGAGACUGGAAUUCCUGGUGUAGCGGUGAAAUGCGCAGAUAUCAGGAGGAACACCGAUGGCGAAGGCAGGUCUCUGGGCCACUACUGACGCUGAGAAGCGAAAGCAUGGGAGCGAACAGG
rnacentral:rRNA from 1 species